rnacentral:rRNA from 1 species
CCUACGGGAGGCAGCAGUGGGGAAUCUUCCGCAAUGGGCGAAAGCCUGACGGAGCAACGCCGCGUGAUCGAAUGAAGGCCUUCGGGUUGUCAAGAUCUGUUGACAGGGACGAAUCCGCAAUGCGCAUAGUUUGGUGGAUGACGGUACCUGUUUAGAAAGCUCCGGCUCACUACGUUCCAGCAGCCGCGGUCAUACGUAGGAUUCGAGCGUUCUCCGGAUUUGUUGGGUUUAAAGGGUUCGUAGGCGCGCCGGCACGUCAGCGGUAAAAUCCCGGGGCUACACCCCGGCGAGCCGUUGAAACUGUCGGCGUAGAGACGGCGAGAAGUACGCGGAAUGCGCGGGGUAGCGGUGAAAUGCAUAGAUAUCGCGCAGAACUCCGAUUGCGACGGCAGCGUACCGGAGCCGGACUGACGCUGAGGCACGAACGCGUGGGUAUCGAACAGGAUUAGAUACCCUUGUAGUC